rnacentral:rRNA from 1 species
AUUGAACGCUGGCGGCAGGCCUAACACAUGCAAGUCGAACGGUAACAGGAAACAGCUUGCUGUUUCGCUGACGAGUGGCGGACGGGUGAGUAAUGUCUGGGAAACUGCCUGAUGGAGGGGGAUAACUACUGGAAACGGUAGCUAAUACCGCAUAACGUCGCAAGACCAAAGAGGGGGACCCUCGAGCCUCUUGCCAUCGGAUGUGCCCAGAUGGGAUUAGCUUGUUGGUGGGGUAACGGCUCACCAAGGCGACGAUCCCUAGCUGGUCUGAGAGGAUGACCAGCCACACUGGAACUGAGACACGGUCCAGACUCCUACGGGAGGCAGCAGUGGGGAAUAUUGCACAAUGGGCGCAAGCCUGAUGCAGCCAUGCCGCGUGUAUGAAGAAGGCCUUCGGGUUGUAAAGUACUUUCAGCGGGGAGGAAGGGAGUAAAGUUAAUACCUUUGCUCAUUGACGUUACCCGCAGAAGAAGCACCGGCUAACUCCGUG